UUUUAUGGUGACCGUGCACGGGCAGACCUCGGUCUGGCCGAGCUUCCUACAUUCACUCGGUUUCUCACCCCGUGUUCGGUCGCCACCUCU
rnacentral:antisense_RNA from 1 species